AGAACGAACGCUGGCGGCAUGCCUAACACAUGCAAGUCGAACGAGACCUUCGGGUCUGGUGGCGCACGGGUGCGUAACGCGUGGGAACCUGCCUUUAGGUUCGGAAUAACGCCUCGAAAGGGGUGCUAAUACCGGAUAAUGUCUUCGGACCAAAGAUUUAUCGCCUUUAGAUGGGCCCGCGUUGGAUUAGCUAGUUGGUGGGGUAAAGGCCUACCAAGGCGACGAUCCAUAGCUGGUCUUAGAGGAUGAUCAGCCACACUGGGACUGAGACACGGCCCAGACUCCUACGGGAGGCAGCAGUGGGGAAUAUUGGACAAUGGGCGAAAGCCUGAUCCAGCAAUGCCGCGUGAGUGAUGAAGGCCCUAGGGUGUAAAGCUCUUUACCAGGAUGAUAAUGACAGUACCUGGAGAAUAAGCUCCGGCUAACUCCGCGCCAGCAGCCGC
rnacentral:rRNA from 1 species